CAAGGAGAACAUCUAAUAGAGUCUUACAAAUAUGUCAAAAGAUGGUGUUGGAUUUUAGAUGGUUACAUGCGUGCAUUUUAAAACUUUUAUCAGAUCUAAUCUAAAUGCAAUAAAAAUUAAAUUAAGAUUAAAAUAAUUUUAAUCUAACAUGCAUCAGAUCUAAUCUGCUAACCACCUAGAAUCUACAUAUGAACAUGAAUCUAUUCGAUCUAA
rnacentral:lncRNA from 1 species